CAGUCUUAAAAAAAAAAUUUUAGAAUCCUCUGAAAUAGGAGGAAAAAGGGCUCUCCGGCCCCAACCUCAGGCCUCCGGCCACUGGACUGCGAAUGGCCACGCAUUGUAUGCGCCGCUGUGUACGGCGGUGGAAAGGCUAAAAGCCCUCCUUCCUCUUGGCCAAACGCAGGUUAACGGUGCGGAUCACGACGACGGUGAGGGAACUGAUAGUGGCUCGAUACGAGGUCUGCGGAUACUUGCUGCGCUGAAAGGUGCAGAAACCCUAGGGUUCCUGACCUAGGGUUAAGCAUUUGGGCCUUCGGGAUGCAGCUUAUUGGGUCUUAGGAGUAGGCUAAUCGGGUUGUAAUCGGGUACUGGGUUUUGGGUAGUUUAGCUGGGUCAGGGGUAGGAUUAGUCUGCUGGGCUUUGGGUUAAUGUGGUUGGGCCUGUAAAUGGACUGUAAUAAAAUAAACACUUAUUUAUUUUAUUAUUUUUUUGGGUUUUAUUUAAUUAUGGGCCCGGUCAAAUUUGGGCUAUUACAAUAAUCAUUCUAUAUACUAUCAAUAAAAUAAAAAAAUUACAGAAGAA